AAGUGGCCUCGGACUCAUCGGAGCCAUCAGGACACUCCUCCUCGCCGUCACACUUCCACCGUUCGUGGAUGCAGUGGCCGUUGUCACAGGGAGAAGAAGACAAAAGGCGGUGAGGAGGAGCAACAAGAAGUCGUAAUGUAUGAAGAACCUGCAGCAGACUCAGGCACAUGGCAGAUGCUGGAGAAGUGGCAGCUACUGUUGUUUUCAGGGUUUGAGUCUUAAUUAGAAGCUGAAGGAAUGGGGUUCUGUGUCCACACAGGGGAUGUAGCAGGCUGAGAGCUCACAGCUGGUUACGGAGCUGAGAUAAGAAUGCAGGUACCAUCCCCAGCCCGGUUCUUUACUGCCUUCUGUGUCUUGUCCUACGAGGAACUAGAGUUUCCAGAUCAAUGAGAGGAAACAGAGAUGGAUGCCCAUGUCAUAAGGUGCCCCAGCUUCUUCCCAAGCAGCAGCACAGCACUGGGCGCACCUAGCAGGCCCGGGGGAGAGCAGUUGCCCUGUCAGGACUUCCAUGGGGGAACUGAGGCUGCCUGGCUACCCCCAGUAGGUGGUGGGGGUGCGGGGGUGUUGGAGACCGGGAAGGGGCCUUGAGCGCUCCACCCCUGACAUCCUGCACCCUCUGUAGCAGCCCUAGGCCUCUGAAUUAUUGGGGGCUCAUCUGCAUCAAAUCUGCAUUGAACUCACACAUGCCCUGUUCCUGCUGGACCAAGCAUCCAGGACCCGCUACAGAACAAGCUUCUUCAUCAGGAAAAGAGAGGGUGAUCUGGUGAGAGAUAAGCUUUCAGGUGUGGUAGUUCGAGACCAGGAGGCCCAGAAAUGAAGACGGCAGGGGGGUCUCUUUUCAGCCUAAAAGAGGAUACCUCAGCACAGCAGUGACUUACCCCAGGCCUUGGGGCGCUCAGACCACCAAAGUCCUCCCCUGGAAUGAGCUUGGGAUGGAUUUAACAUCAGGGGCCACUAGGAUGUGGCCUCUCCCCAGGGGCUUAGAAGUCCCGUGGCCCCAGCCUGCCCCGCUCCCUCAUCUUCCCCUCCUCAUACUUCCCAAUCUAGCCCCACCUCAACUGCCGGUGGGUCCUCAUAUACUCCAUGCUUUUUAUACCAUCAUACCUUGCCCAAGCUGUCUUUAGUCUGAAAGCCCCUUCCCCCACCUCUCACCUUCUUUCCAUUACACACUGGGCUUAAGUAUCACCUCCAGUCUUGAUCAGUAGCCUCUCCUGAGCUCCUACAAUCCCCUGAAUGUCCUUCUAGGGCAGAGGUUGGCAAACUUUUUCUGUGAAGGGCCAGAUAGUAGCUAUUUAGGCUUUGAGGGCCAAAUGGUCUCGGUCACACCACUCAAUCCUGCCACUAUGGGGCAGAAGCAGUCAGAGACAUUAGAUAAAUGAGUGAGCAUGGUUAUGUUUCAAUAAAACUUUAUUUACAAAAAACUGGUGACAGGCCAGGCCUGUGGCCUGUAUUUUGAUGACCUCUGCUCUAGAUCAUCACUGAUUGCGAGUCCAACAUGGUUUGCUUUCUUCCCUGUCCCUGCAGCACAGAGACUGUCAAAUUCAGCAAGAAUCCAGCUUGGGGUAGGUCUCAGUGCGGGACACUGAGCUAAAUGCGAGCACAGCCCCCCAGCCUCUGCUCCAUACUUACAGUUCU
rnacentral:lncRNA from 1 species